GAUUUGGGUAGGGCAGAGGGGCUCGCCCUCCCUCCACAUACGAAAUGGGCGUAAGCGUAUGCCAGUAACCCCCUAAAUACGGAAGAUAUGAGAAGACAAACAGCUUCUCCCUUAACAUGCAGCCUAGGGCUGAGGGGUGUAUGGGGCCAAUUUAUCCAUCCGUAGGGAUGGAUAAAUUGGCUUACGGGAGGGACCGGGUCAGGCCCGGGAGGGAGCAGCCCAACUCCCGACCAUACACGUUCUCAGUCUAAUGGCAAAGACUUAAAGGGAGAAGACUUUGUCUUCUCAUAUCUUCCGUAUUUAGGGGGGGCCAUAGC
rnacentral:SRP_RNA from 2 species